GACGAACGCUGGCGGCGUGCUUAACACAUGCAAGUCGAGCGGAAAGGCCCUUCGGGGUACUCGAGCGGCGAACGGGUGAGUAACACGUGAGUAACCCGCCCUGGACUUUGGGAUAACCCUCGGAAACGGGGGCUAAUACCGAAUACGACACUCUACCGCAUGGUGUGGGUGUGGAAAGUUUUUCGGUCUGGGAUGGACUCGCGGCCUAUCAGCUUGUUGGUGGGGUAAUGGCCUACCAAGGCGACGACGGGUAGCCGGCCUGAGAGGGCGACCGGCCACACUGGGACUGAGACACGGCCCAGACUCCUACGGGAGGCAGCAGUGGGGAAUAUUGCACAAUGGGCGGAAGCCUGAUGCAGCGACGCCGCGUGAGGGAUGACGGCCUUCGGGUUGUAAGCCUCUUUCAGCAGGGACGAAGCGCAAGUGACGGUACCUGCAGAAGAAGCGCCGGCCAACUACGUGCCAGCAGCCGCCGUAA
rnacentral:rRNA from 1 species